rnacentral:tRNA from 1 species
AAGGCUUUAAGUUAAAAAAACUAAUAUCCUUCAAAGCUAUAAAUAAAGUCGAUCUUUAAGCCUUA